rnacentral:lncRNA from 1 species
GUCCUAUAAAUAAGUCACUGUCAAACAGUGAAUGGAGUAACAGACAUCUAGUUAUAACUGAAAGAAAAAUACAAGAACUCUAUAUUUAUGAAUUGAUUAAGCCUAAAGACUUGAACUUCAGUCUAAAGGUUCUCCCACUAUUUUAUACGAAUUGAUAGCCUUUAUCUCCAAUCUGAAGAAUUACCUUAAUUUCUUAGCAGAUACUAGAAUCCACACAGACUGCAUACAGGUCCGA